ensembl:lncRNA
GACCCAGGGCAUCUGUGGCUACUGAUGUAGCUUACCACCACCGGUAUGACUGUGUAUAAAUGACUACUGGACUCUGGACUCUGUAAAGUGACUUUGGGUAUUUAGAGAAGCGCUAUAUAAGAUUGAAUUGAUUGAUUGAUUGAAUAUAGUUCUAUCUAUAUAUUCUUUAAUAACACACAAUAUAGCCCUAUCUAUAUAUUCUUCAAUAACCUACAAAAUAGCCCUAUUUAUAUAUAUGUUUUUAACAUUCAAUACAGCCCUGUCUAUAUAUUCUUUAAUAACACACAAAUGACAGUGGCCUUAUCAGUAAUUGUCCUGACAAAGGUUUUGGUUUGUAAUGAUAUGACCAUUUCUAUCCAUGUGACUUUGGUUUCAUGACAUCUGACAUGGCAGAGUGAUCUAUUUCACGUUAACAGUGACAUGAUACAGGAGUGUCAUUAUCAUUCAAACAGCAGUAGGGAGUAAAGGGUGUUGUUCCAGUAUGGUGGUGUCGCCAUGGUGUGUCUGUAAGAACACCUCUGGAGUCAGAAUGCAGUUUAUGGGUUAACUUUGAGAUUGCACAGCCGGAGAGUAAUUGCCAGGACUCAAGCACACACACACACACACACACACAUGCACAGUAAUACACAGGACUCAAACAGGUAUUUCCAGCUGAAGCUUUAGAAUCUUUCGCUGGAAGGUGAGGGAGGAGCUACAGCAGAACUGGAAUCAUAACAUUCGUCAUUGAAUGCUUUCUGAGACGGAGACAGAACAACCAUGGGCUACAGGAUACCUAUACACAUUUAUACGUUUAACUAGAAAACAUGAUAAAUGUUCGGAGGGUUAGGCUCAUCUGAGCCUCCAAUGUGGAUUUAUUUGUGUUUACUGAUCUCCUUUCCUCUCUCCAAUGGCUCAGAUGUCAACACACUGGAGGUCCAGUUCACAGUGUUCCGUGCUCCGAACAACAAGCUGCAGUUCCAGCAAACAUCUCUGUUCAACGGACACGUGAUAUUUUCCUGCAACAGCCAAACACUGACAGACCAACCAAGACAGGACUGGGUUACACACACAUUCACCCAAGAGGAACUGGAGGAGAGACGAAUGCAGUGUGUGGAUCAGCAGCAUGAUCACUUUGAUUGGUUUGAGAUGAUAGAGAAGACCAUCACUGUUACAGCAGAGUUUCUUCAAAGACGUCGUGGUUGUAUGAUCAACAGCUCAGGAGUAUAUGCUUUUGAUGAGUGGGGUGUCAAUGGAGAAGACUUUUUGACCUUUGAACCCCAGACUCUUAAAUGGACUCCUCUGUCUGACCUGGCCACCCAUGUUGCAGUAGAGUGGAACAAGCAGGACUCAUUGAUCAGGAAUCAUGUGUAUGGGGACUUUGGCCAGAUUUUGUGUCCUGAGACUCACAAUACCUUGAAGUUGAAGAGAGCAACAUGGAUCAAUGAAUCUACACAAACGGAUAUGGAACUCCGUAUUUUUGCCAAACCUAUCCCAGGAAAUACCUCCAUGAAUUUACAGUGUCAUGUGACAGCCUCUGACCUAUCAGGAGUCAGAAUCCAGUUAACCAAAGAUGGGGUUCCUCUGGACUAUGGGGUGGAGCGGAUUGGACCGCGUCCCAAUGGAGACGGAACCGUUCAGAUGAGAGUC